AACGAACGCUGGCAGCGUGGAUAAGGCAUGCAAGUCGUACGAUCUCUUCGGAGAUAGUGGCGAACGGGUGAGUAACACGUGGGUAAUCUACCCUGGAUACUGGGAUAACAUACUGAAAAGUAUGCUAAUACCGGAUACGAUCGCGGCAACGUAUGUUGUUGCGAUGAAAUGAUGGCCUCUAUUUAUAAGCUAUCGAUCCUGGAUGAGCCCGCGGCCCAUUAGCUAGUUGGUGGGGUAAUGGCCCACCAAGGCAACGAUGGGUAGCUGGUCUGAGAGGAUGGUCAGCCACACUGGGACUGAGACACUGCCCAGACUCCUACGGGAGGCUGCAGUCGAGAGUCUUUCACAAUGGGGGAAACCCUGAUGAAGCGACGCUGCGUGGAGGAUGAAGGCCUUCGGGUUGUAAACUCCUGUCACUAGGGAAGAAUUGUGCGCCUGCGAAUAACAGACGCAUUUGGCUGUACCUAGAGAGGAAGCCACGGCUAACUCCGUGCCAGCAGCCGCGGUAAUACGGAGGUGGCGAGCGUUGUUCGGAUUUAUUGGGCGUAAAGCGCGUGUAGGCGGCCGUGAAAGUUCGAUGUGAAAUCCUUCGGCUCAACCGAGGAAUGGCAUCGAAAACUUCGCGGCUAGAGUACGAGAGAGGUAAGCGGAAUUCCCGGUGUAAGAGUGAAAUCUGUAGAUAUCGGGAGGAACACCAGUGGCGAAGGCGGCUUACUGGCUCGAGACUGACGCUGAAAUGCGAAAGGUAGGGGAGCAAACAGGAUUAGAUACCCUGGUAGUCCUACCCGUAAACGAUGGACACUAGGUGUAGGUCCUUUUAAAGGAUCUGUGCCGCAGCUAACGCAUUAAGUGUCCCGCCUGGGGAGUACGGCCGCAAGGCUAAAACUCAAAGGAAUUGACGG
rnacentral:rRNA from 1 species